GAACAUCCAGUGCUUCUGCUAGCAUCAGAGCGUGCCUCCAGAAUGAGUUGUCUGAGGUCACAAUGUUUUUGGCAGUAUUUCGAACAAGACCCUAAUCUCCUGAGUCCUGGAGCUCUCUCGUGGGUGAGGAACUACGAUCAAGGCUUUGUAGUUGUAAUCAAACAGAAGUGAUUGUAGCGAGAACACAACAUAUGGAAAAGCAAGAGAGAAUUGGAUAGGACUUGGGACAGGUACCCCUGGGCUAUCUGUCUUUUAUGAUACUUCUAACACACCAAUGAUACAAGCUAUGGCUACCUUGGAACUAAGGCUGGGUCACAGGAGGCUGCAAUGUGGAAAUUACAAAGUAUUAAAAAAAGAUUUUAUGUCCCUUGGGAAGCUGUUGAAGAGAUCAGGAGCACAGGUAGUGUUCUCCUUAAUCCUCCUGGUUAGAGACUGACUUGGGCAGGAGGAGAACAGACCAGCUGAAUGAAUGGCUGUGUGGAUGGUAUCAUGCUCAGGUAUUAUAAUCUUGCACGCUCCUUCAAGAGACCGGGCAUGCUGAUGUCAGAUGGGAUGCAACUGACCAAGAAGGGAAUGAAUGUACUGGGCAGCAAGCUGGCGGGGUUUAUCACCAGAGCUUUAAACUAUAUCUGAUGGGGAAAAGAGAUGUACCUCUGAGUGAUAGAGAGGAGCCAGGGAACUCUGUCACUUUAGGAAGCAGGGGGGGAAAUCCUCAGAUUUGUCCCAGAGGAAUUUAGGAGGGCUCUUCCAAGAAAAUGGCAUGGCUGUCAGCUGCAAACAAGUGAUCAGCAUUCUGAUUUUCUCUUUCAGUGCUUCUGUAAUGUCACAAGAGAAACCAUUAUGUGAUACCAAGGAUUCACAAGUUUCAUUAUUCAUGAUGUGGAAGACAUAUCAUUGUGUAAAAAUUAGUAGCUUAAGAUGUAAUAGGUCAUCCAAAUAAUAAUUCCCAUGGCACUGUAGCUGGAAUACUGUUUCCACUUUAUUUUAGAGAGUAGCAGAUUUUUGUUAUUUCAUUUAAAGACUCUCUGACAGCAUUUUAGCCUCUG